rnacentral:rRNA from 1 species
AGUGAACGCUGGCGGUAGGCCUAACACAUGCAAGUCGAACGGCAGCACAGUAAGAGCUUGCUCUUACGGGUGGCGAGUGGCGGACGGGUGAGGAAUACAUCGGAAUCUACUUUUUCGUGGGGGAUAACGUAGGGAAACUUACGCUAAUACCGCAUACGACCUACGGGUGAAAGCAGGGGAUCUUCGGACCUUGCGCGAUUGAAUGAGCCGAUGUCGGAUUAGCUAGUUGGCGGGGUAAAGGCCCACCAAGGCGACGAUCCGUAGCUGGUCUGAGAGGCUGAUCAGCCACAUUGGAACUGAGACACGGUCCAGACUCCUACGGGAGGCAGCAGUGGGGAAUAUUGGACAAUGGGCGCAAGCCUGAUCCAGCCAUACCGCGUGGGUGACGAAGGCCUUCGGGUUGUAAAGCCCUUUUGUUGGGAAAGAAAAGCAGCAGGUUAAUACCCCGCUGUUCUGACGGUACCCAAAGAAUAAGCACCGGCUAACUUCGUG